GCCAGGCGAGGUGGUGCAUGCCUGUAAUCCCAGUGACUUGGGAGGCUGAGGCAGGAGGAUCACAAGUUCAAAGCCAACCUCAGCAACUUAGUGAGGCUUUAAGCAAUUUAAUGAGACCCUGUCUCAA
rnacentral:sRNA from 1 species